AAUCGGUUUCUUUCAAAACUAACUUGAGGUGCUUGUAAACGGGAGAGCCAUCCUUUGCCUGGGUUUGCUGUGUCCCAUGGCCACCCAGGGUCCUCCCGCCUGGAGGCUGGGUCCUGCGGGGACGGGGAGAGAGCCCCACUGGCCACACUGGGGCUGCCUCUCACCGUGGCUGACUCCGCCUGGAUCCCUCAUCUGUCAGGUACGGUUCUAGGCCCUGGGAAUCCACUGAUGAAGGAGGCAGAUAAAGACCCCUGGAGGCAGGAAGCCCAGAUUCUGGAAACGAGGACGUGCAGGCCCGUGCGGCUCUAAAAAGAAAAGAAAACAAAACAAAACAAAGUGAGACUCAGUGAUUUCCGUGUAUGUUCACAGGGCUGUGCAGCCAUGACCACAGUGGAGAGAAUGUCAUUGUCACCCCCCAAAAAGAAGCACACGCUCCCUAGCAGUCUCUCUCUCUGCCCCCCACACCCCUGCCACUCAUCUAUUUUCCGUCUCUAUGGGUUGACCUGUUCUGGACAUUUCAUAGAAAAGGAAUUACGCAAUU